UACGAAGGGGGCUAGCGUUGUUCGGAUUUACUGGGCGUAAAGCGCGUGUAGGCGGGUCGUUACGUUGGGGGUGACAUCCCGAGGCUCAACCUCGGAACUGCCUUCAAAACUGGCGGCCUGGAGCAAUGAAGAGGCGAGUGGAAUUCCGAGUGUAGAGGUGAAAUGCGUAGAUAUUCGGAGGAACACCAGUGGCGAAGGCGACUCGCUGGUCUGUUGCUGACGCUGAGACGCGAAAGCGUGGGGAGCAAACAGG
rnacentral:rRNA from 1 species